rnacentral:rRNA from 1 species
GAUGAACGCUGGCGGCGUGCCUAAUACAUGCAAGUCGAACGGACGGACGCGACGCUUGUUUCUCUGAUGUUAGCGGAGGACGGGUGAGAAACACGUGGAUAAUCUACCUAUAAGACUGGGAUAAUCACGGAAAACCGGAGAUAAUACCGGAGAAUCUUUUGAACCGCGUGGUUCGAUAGUAAAAGACGGUCUUGCUGGCACUACUAGCUGGAUCCGCGCUGUAUUGGCUGGUUGGUGAGGUAACGGCUUAUCAAGGCAACUAUGCAUUGGCGAGCUAAGAGGGUGGUCGGCGACACGGGAGCUGAGCCACGGUCCAUGGUCCUAGGGGAGGGAGCAGAAUGGUACCGUCGGCAAUGGGGGGGAGCCUGGCGGAGCAACGCGGCGUGUGUGGUGAAGGCCUUCGGAGCGUAAUACUCUGUUAUUAGUGAAGAACAGAUGUGUACGUAACUGUGCACAUCUUGACGGUACCGAAUCAGAAAGCCCCGGCUAACUACGUG